CGAAACUUAAUUUAUGUUUCCAGAAAUUUUUUUAUUCUAUAACUCGAAUUUAAAUUAGUUAGAUACAAUAAUUACACGUUACAACUUUAGUUAAAAUAAAAGCACUAUUUAUCAGGCAGACAUUCUCUAUUUUAAACUUUUCAAUGCUAAUGUUUUCAAUACACUAGGUAUCAUCUUCAGGCUAUACAGCUAGGCCCAUAGUGGAGAAAAUUAAUGCUCCUACCAACUACUUGGAAAGGAAAAUAACAUCAUGGGCAAUGAAGAUACUGGGCCAAACAAUUAAUUCAACCAUAAUAACAACACAAGCCUUUGCAAGGUUAAGAGAAGUCCAGUGGGAAGAAGGGAACUUUAUAGCUAUGUUUGAUUAUGAAAACUUAUAUCCUUCCUUGGAAAUCCAAUCUACAUGCCUGCUGUUUUAAAGGUUUCUCCUUACUAAUAUGCAAGACUCAACUUAAAAUACCAUUGCUCAGAGAUUUAGCAUACCUACUAUGCCAUAAAUCAUACUUCCCUUUAAAGGGAAUAAUUAUAUGCAGUGUAAAAGUGUGCCUAUAGGAAGUCUCAUGGUGGCCCCCUUGGCUAAAAUAGUACUAAGAGAAGCAGAAGCUAAAGUACUUAGUAAGCUACAAAGUGGCAUGAAGUUUUAUUUAUGUACAUCGAUGAUAUUUUAACAGUAUGGAAAAAGGGACAAGAUCCAAAAGUCUUGACUGAGCAUUUAAUGAUAAAUGCAUAUGGUAUAGUAUUGAAUGAGCAGGAAGUUAGCCACUCAUCCACACAUUUUUUGGAUAUUAAAAUAGAAAUAAGACAUAAAGAACUUAACACUUCAGUCUACAGAAAGCCAACAUAUGAACCUGUUGCUAUACCCAGGUGGUCCCGACUCGUCUUCAUACAAAACAGCAGCAUUUAAUUUUUACUUUAGAAGAGCCAGCACUUAUAUUACUAACCAACUUGAAUUAAGAAAAGAGCUUGAUUAUAUUUACAAAAUAGGGCAACAAUACAGAUACUCCUAGAUGUUUUUUGGAUGCAAUAUAUUAUAAAGUGCAGAAAUCGUCUCCAAACAAGGAACCUCCUAAAGAACCAAAAAGUGAGCAAUAUGAGCCAAUCCUUUAUGCAAUGAAGAAUUGUAACACUGCUAGAAAAUUAGCUAAAAAGCUUAGUAAAAAGUUAACAUACAAAAAACACCCAACACUCUACACAGUCAACUAAGGAAUGAGAAAGACUCCAAGGAGGAAAAACAACAAUCAGGAGUGUAUAAAAUACUUGUUAAGAACAAUACUGUAAGGAGAAUUGAAAAAAGAAAAAAAGAAUAAACAAAAAAAAUGAUACCUGUUGUGUGGAAUUGGCCAGGGACUGCCGUAUCAUUCUGAUGUUUGUUAACGAGAGUAAAGUGAAUAAAUGAGAUAAGAUGGAUAAGUUUUUAUUAACAAAAAUUAUUGGUGUUGUUAUUUAAAGAAAUAUAAUAAGGAAGAUAUACUAGUAACAAUAGCUCUAUAACAGGUAAAAUAGACUUUACUAAACAAACAAGUUACAGCAGCAG
rnacentral:lncRNA from 1 species